CCUACGGGAGGCAGCAGUGAGGAAUAUUGGUCAAUGGACGAGAGUCUGAACCAGCCAAGUAGCGUGAAGGAUGACUGCUCUAUGGGUUGUAAACUGCUUUUAUAUGGGAGUAAACCACGAUAUGCGUACCGGCUUGUAUGUACCAUACGAAUAAGGAUCGGCUAACUCCGUGCCAGCAGCCGCGGUAAUACGGAGGAUCCGAGCGUUAUCCGGAUUUAUUGGGUUUAAAGGGUGCGUAGGCGGUUUGUUAAGUUAGUUGUGAAAUGUUGGGGCUCAACCGUGAAACUGCAUCUAAAACUGGCAGACUUGAGUACAGUAGAGGUAGGCGGAA
rnacentral:rRNA from 1 species